GAUAAACGCUGGCGGCGUGCCUAAUCAAUGCGAGUCGUGCGGUCCUUCGGGACAGCGGCGUCCGGGUGAGUAACGCGUAGCUAACCUGCCUACCGGUGGGGGAUACCCGCCAGAAAUGGCGGCUAAUACCGCAUAGCUUGACCAGGGGGCAACCCUGGGCAAGAAAACAGCGAUGUGCCGGCAGAGGGGGCUGCGUCCGAUUAGCUUGACGGUGGGGUAACGGCCUACCGUGGCGACGAUCGGAGCUGGUCUGAGAGGACGGUCAGCCACACUGGGACUGAGACAUGGUCCAGAGCUCUACGGGGUUUAGCAUGAAGGGAUAUUGCGCAAUGGGCGAAAGCCUGACGCAGCAACGCCGCGUGUGGGAUGACGCCUUUC
rnacentral:rRNA from 1 species